GAUGAACGCUGACAGAAUGCUUAACACAUGCAAGUCAACUUGAACUUCGGUUUGGGUGGCGGACGGGUGAGUAACGCGUAAAGAACUUGCCUCACAGAUAGGGACAACAUUUGGAAACGAAUGCUAAUACCUGAUAUUAUGAUUAUAUGGCAUCGUAUAAUUAUGAAAGCUAUAUGCGCUGUGAGAGAGCUUUGCGUCCCAUUAGCUAGUUGGAGAGGUAACGGCUCACCAAGGCGAUGAUGGGUAGCCGGCCUGAGAGGGUGAUCGGCCACAAGGGGACUGAGACACGGCCCUUACUCCUACGGGAGGCAGCAGUGGGGAAUAUUGGACAAUGGACCAAGAGUCUGAUCCAGCAAUUCUGUGUGCACGAUGAAGUUUUUCGGAAUGUAAAGUGCUUUCAGUUGGGAAGAAAAAAAUGACUGUACCAACAGAAGAAGUGACGGCUAAAUACGUG
rnacentral:rRNA from 1 species